rnacentral:rRNA from 1 species
UACCGUGGCAGUGACGGGUAACGGGGAAUUACGGUUCGAUUCCGGAGAGGGAGCCUGAGAAACGGCUACCACAUCUAAGGAAGGCAGCAGGCGCGCAAAUUACCCAAUCCUGACUCAGGGAGGUAGUGACAAGAAAUAACAACACUGGAAAUUUGAUUUCUAGUGAUUGGAAUGAUGGGAAUCCAAACCCCUUUCAGAGUAACAAUUGGAGGGCAAGUCUGGUGCCAGCAGCCGCGGUAAUUCCAGCUCCAAUAGCGUAUAUUAAAGUUGUUGCAGUUAAAAAGCUCGUAGUUGGAUGUCUGUUGGAAGCAAUCAUCAGUCCGCCCUAUUUGAUUAGGGUGUGAAUAUGAUGAAUUCCGGCAUAAUUGUCUCCCUAUUGUUAAUAUUCUGAUUGUUAGAUUCAUUUCUAACAAUAAUACGAUUAUUAAUAAUAAGGGGGAAAUGUUACUUUGAGAAAAUUAGAGUGUUUGAAGCAGGCUUUUGUUGCCUUGAAUACUGCAGCAUGGAAUAACAAUAUAGGAUUUCGGUUCUAUUUUGUUGGUUCUUUUUUUAGGACUGAAAUAAUGAUUAAUAGGGACAGUUGGGGGCAUUCGUAUUUAACUGUCAGAGGUGAAAUUCUUAGAUUUGUUAAAGACGAACUACUGCGAAAGCAUUUGCCAAAGAUGUUUUCAUUAAUCAAGAACGAAAGCUAGGGGCUCGAAGACGAUCAGAUACCGUCGUAGUCUUAACCAUAAACUAUGCCGACUAGAGAUAGGAAAUUGUCAUUUUACUUGACUUCUCCUGCAC